ensembl:lncRNA
CACAGCUGUGCUAUUUUUCCCCCCUGACAUGUUGAACCCUUAAAGGAACACUCAGAAGUAUAAUAAGCUGGAGUUGCAUAAAUGAGUUCUCUGAUUAUGGUAAAGAUUCUGAAAAGGUGUGAAGCUGAAAGCCGCAGGCGAGACUCUACCUAGGAAAACGUCGGGCGACUUCGAGUAGGGUACAGCGCAGGACGAAGUGUGUGUCCAACGUGGACUAAAAUGUGGGAAGAGAUUCCUUUAUUAAAAAGCAGUCUACCUUCCUGGAAACAAUCCAUCACACUCCCUACGGAAGAGGAUCACACGCCCUGCGACUUCUCAACCUCUACGUGCUGAGAGACAGUCCAGGUUAAGGAACCUCUCAGGACUGCAGUCUGAAUGAGCAGAACCGAUGGCAAACGUUUCCAGGUGAGUCCCUCGGGAAGGAUGGGCCCUGGGCUCUCACGAGCUGCCGUGACCAGGAAAGUCUGUGUCUGGGGCUGGUCAGCUGUGCUUUGGGACAGAGAGCCAAAAAGCUCCAAUUCGCCAAGGUUCACCCUUAAAAGGAGCAACUCUUCUUUUCACCCUGAAGGAAGCAACUGGUUGCUUCCCCUGCUCGCAUCCUCCCUGCACCGUGGAGCAGCGUCUGUCUGAUGUUGGCAGCAGCACAAGGACAAAUCAAGACACUCAGAAGCAAAUGCUUUUGUUUUGCAGACAUAGGACCAGAGAUGCGGGGAAGUGUUACCCUGGGGCCUGAACAGCAUCAGGCGUGACAGCAGAUGUUUAGUGCCAUGGGUUGCACGGUGCUGCUGUUGAGUACCAGAUACUGAGGCGAUCUGCCUGAGACUUUUAAUAAAUAGUGUGUGUGUGCUGUCUAUUCAGAACCACUAAAGGGAGGAGUCCAGGGCAAGGGUCCCUCUUGCCCAAAUCUAAAGGCUCCAUUAGACAACCAACCAAGCACUCAAGCAGGAAGAUGAAGACUGCUGGCACCACAUGGCAGAUCAGAGACACGACAGGGAGCGGCAGAGAGGUGGUGACCUGGGGAGCCCACGCCUGUCUGAAGAGAACUGUCUAUAUUCUGCCCUUACCCAUAUACUGACUUGUAGGAAAGUCGAAGUCACGUUGCUGGACUGUCUGAUUUCUCAGGAGAAUGCCACAUUUCGGGUUUUUAUGUGAAAAAAAUUGAUAUCGACAAAUAAUCCAAAUUAAUAAACUUAAAAAGUACAUUUGAGGGGAUCACAUCUUUAGGCUAGAUUUGUUCCCAAAGCCACCACGAACACUUUUCUGGUCUACUGCAUUUUACUACUUUGUGCUUACUUUUGAAGCAUUUAUGAUCGCUAAUUCCUCAUUUUGGAUAAAUACUAAAGCAAUGACAGGGUGAGAAUCAUGGAAGAAGAAGAGGCAUAUGAUUAGGUUAGAAAAGAAAGUGCAGGUUAGGUUUACACCGAUGUGUACGCAAGGGUUACACAUAUUCUGUCACUUUGUCUUUGCAGGAUGUAGACUCAGCGACAUCCUGUUUGUAAGCAGAGAAGCCUCCACACGUGGACAUGCGAGGCUGUCUUUGGCUCUGCUGCUCAGUUCAGAUAAUUUUCGAGAGAUCUCCAUUGUACUUCAACUUAUUUUUCAGUAAUAGGAGAGUGAGUGGUGAAAAAUGUGAGAUUAGAUUGUGAAAGAAUGAAGUUAGAGAUCCCAGGGGAGUAUCUCUAGAGAUGUGAAGAUUCGGGACGUGGGGUUACCUCCUGUGCUUCUCAAAGGGCAAGCAGAAGAUAUCUGGCACGGGAAUGGGGAGGGAGCAAGAACAGGGGAGGAUAGCAAGUAUGUUUCAGGCAUUUCGGAGCCCAAGCAAGAUGCCCAGUGGAGUGGUUAAGAGGUCAGACCGUCCCAAGUUCAAGACCCAGGACUAAAUUUACAAGCUGCAAAAAGUUGCUUUUCCCUCUGAGCUUGUUUCAUCAUUUGUUAAGAAGGUGAUAAUGAUGAUUUACCUCAAAGGGCUGCUGUGAGCAGUAAAUGAGCUAAUCAAAGCCAAGGUCUAGUACACAUUCCUCAGGAAGUACUCAAUAAAUGCCGGUGAUUAUUAGUAGGACAAUGAUUGGGAUUAGUGGGGCGAAUUCGGGAAUCAUCUGCAGAAAGGUGGACAGUUGAAAUCUGAAGAGAGCACCUUGGAAGGGGGGCAUAUAUAUUGGGGAGCACAUCUAUUUGAGGGAGUAAGGAAAAAAAAUGGAAGCCUGAAAGGGGUCAGAGAAGGAACAGUCAGGUAGGAGAAAUGCCAAGACAGGGUUUAGGGAAGGCCCCUGUAUGAAAAUAAAAUAGAGACUUUAUUUUCAGAAUAGUGCUGAGCAUGAAAAUGAUUUAGAAUGGUGCCUUAUAAACUUUAGAGUACCAAAGAAUCACCUGGGAGAGUGUAAAUGUUUAAAAUGUAGAUUCCCAGAAAGCCUGACUCAGUAGGUCUGGGCUCAGGCCCAGGAAUCUAUAUGGAUUCCAACUGCAGAUAGACAACAAACCACACUUGGAAGAACACUGUGUUAAGACUGAGCGUGCAGCCAGGGAGAGGAGACAGAGUGGCUACCAUCCUUUCAAGGUAGUUGGUUAGGGCAUACAUGUGUCUUAGCCUCCACUACCCAUGCAUUAAAGAAAGUCUUUCCAGAGAAAAGCCUUUGAGAGAACACAGGUUGCUUUCAAUAGGUUGCUUGGUGAGUAAAGGGAGGGGUGGUGGUUGGUGGUGUUUAUUUCUCCUGCAUAUAUAUAAUGGCCAAGGGGUCUUAACCAUCUGUGGCCCUGGGUUUGGAAGGGUGAAUUAAAUUGGUUGAUUUUCAAGUAUCAAACCAACCUUGCAUUCCUGGAAUAAUCCAACUCGGUCAUGAUGGAUGGUGGGAAAGAGACACAUUGCUCAGACCUCAAUCUCAGGCUCUGGGCUCCCUUUCCUCUCUCUAGCCUUCUAGCAGACACGACCUAUCCAAACAACACAACAGCUCCCUGAGACUUGGAAAUAAACACCAGGUCUUCUAGAACAGUGAACUUCAAAAUACUUUUUACUUAUACCCUCUAAGAUAUUUUUUAAAAAGUAUAUAUACUCCCUUACAUGUUUUAAAGUUGAUAUCUCAAAUGUUUCACAUAUUAACUGCUUAAAAGGAUUCUGGGGCAUUGUAAUUAUUUGUUAUAUCAUUUAAAAAAUAUAUUCAAUAGGGCAGCCUGGUGGCAUAGCGGUUAAGUGUGCACGUUCCACUACGGCAGCCCGGGGUUCACCAGUUUGGAUCCUGGUGUCAGACACGGCACCACUUGGCACACCCUGCUGUGGCAGGUGUCCCACAUAUAAAGUAGAGGAAGAUGGGCAUGGAUGUUAGCUCAGGGCCAGUCUUCCUCAGCAAAAAGAGGAGGAUUGGCAGCAGUUAGCUCAGGGCUAAUCUUCCUCAAAAAAAAAAAAAAAUUUCAAAGUAAUCCAAAUAUCAUGCAUCCUUGAUCUCUACCAUCAUCUAUUUAAAUAAUACAUGAACAAGCUGUUCUUUAAAAGUUGAAAUUUUACAUCAUUAUUUAAGGAGUUUUCCGCUUUAAAUUUGUACUUCCAUUCCACUUCCCCAUUAAAUUUUCUAUUAAUGUAAUAAUUUUUUGGCUUAGAAGUCUUGUAUUGAUCACCCUAUUAAACCUCUUGGCAGAAACAUUUAUAUAUAUUUAAUAAAAAACCUUUUUAACUUCCUUUGAUCAGAAUUGAGUUACUACUAUAAUGAUUAUUUUUAUGUAAUUGAUGAAAACAAGGUGAAUGUAUUACAAAAUCAGAACUAACAGAAGGUUGAUAAUUGUUGAAGCUGGGUCAUGGGUGCAGAAAGGAUCAUGACGAUUCUCACUCCACUCUAUGUUUGAAAUUUUCCAUUAAAAAAAAGUUUAGAAACCUCUUGAAGAAAUAAAUGUGCUAUAAAUUCUGGUUAAAAAUUCCUAAACAAAAAAACAUAAAAUUUUUAUUGGUCAG